CAGUCGCCGCGGUAACACCGAGGGUGCGAGCGUUAAUCGGAUUUACUGGGCGUAAAGCGUGCGUAGGCGGCUUCUUAAGUCGGAUGUGAAAUCCCUGAGCUUAACUUAGGAAUUGCAUUCGAUACUGGGAAGCUAGAGUAUGGGAGAGGAUGGUAGAAUUCCAGGUGUAGCAGUGAAAUGCGUAGAGAUCUGGAGGAAUACCGAUGGCGAAGGCAGCCAUCUGGCCUAAUACUGACGCUGAGGUACGAAAGCAUGGGGAGCAAACAGGAUUAGAUACCCCGGUAGUCCCUGUCUCUUAUAC
rnacentral:rRNA from 1 species